GCUACAUUCUGUUUGACACGCUGUUGAUUUAAGAGAAAAACUAAAACUGCUCUGUCUUUUCUAGACAAUGGCAAUGAUCCCUGCCAGGCCACUUUUCUGAGCUGGAUCCUUUGUUGCUGGCCAGCGUAUGAAAGUGUGUACUGCUGCAGACCCUGGCACGUGGCAUCCACUCUGGCAUGCAAGGACGGUUACUCUCCUUUAACAAGCCACCAAUAGAAGCAGCAAGAACAGCCACCCGAAGUGCA